rnacentral:lncRNA from 1 species
GGUAACCACAGAUUGAGCCCAAGAGCACUUAAACCACUGGGCCACAUCCCCAGCCCUUUUUUUGUAUUUUAUUUUGAGACAUGGUCUUGCUGAGUUGCUUAGGGUCUUGACAAAUUGCUGAGGCUGGCUUUGAACUCAUAAUUCUCCUGCCUCAGCCUCCAGAGCUGCUGGGAUUACAGGCAUGCACCGCCAUGCCCAGCUAAAGAAAAUAUUUUGGAUAAACAUUCUCUAGCAAGUAUGUUUCUGUUGACCAGAUAUUGAGGCAGCAGGCCAUCUGCUUUCACCCUCUUCAGGGCUGAAUAAAUGGGAUAAAAAGUUGUUGCAAAGAAAAGAAGAAAAGUAAGAACCUAUCUGAAAAUAUGACAGAGGAGUAGAUUGUAAACAAGAGAACAAGAUGGUAGAGUAAAAAAGAAGAAAAAACCGAUGGAAAGAAAAAUGUUGAUGAAUGUAACUUAAAAAAAAGAUUGGGAGGGAAUGAACAAGAGAGGAAGAUGGAGAAGAAGGUGAGAAAACGAGGAACUUUGAAGAAGUAGUAAGUAGUGGAACUGCUGUUGGUAGAGGGUGGGAAUUUCAUCAUUCAACACAGUUGAAAAUAUGCAGGCACCAUGAAGAGAGAACAUGGCUCUUUAUGGUGAAAGGGAAGCCCACAAAUCUCUGUCUUUGAAAAUCACUUUUACUUUUGACAGUCAAGUAACUCGGGCCCUUAUUUUUCUACAGCUGCAGGAAGUCCAAGGUCCUGGCCCUGACCCAGGAAGUGCCACCAUUUUCCUGGACAAUAUCACCUCUUUCUUCUCAUUUCUCAGUACCUUUCUUCCCUGACAAGCUGACAGUGGGCUAGCAGGUUACCUCAGAUUCAAUGGGUAGGCCACUCAAGAAAGGGAAUUAAAGUUUAGAGUAGGGGACAAGCAGUAUUCCAUAUUAGAGAAGACUGUUGCUAAAAUGAUCUCUUCUCAGGGUGCCUCAGUCAGGAUAUAUCCUUUGCUCAAGGAAAACUCCAUUUCUCUUCAUUGUGUUUGGAAAUGGAGAACUGUCUGGUCAGACUCUGCCUUUAUUUUAUAUACUUAAAGGACACAUUGAAGAGUUUUCUCCCACAAAAAAAGCCCUGUCAGCUAGGCUUGGGAGGCUGAGGCAGGAGGAUCACAAGUUUAAGGGCAGCUUCAGCAACUUAGUCUCAAAAUUUUAAAAAACAGGGGCUGGGGUUGUAGCUCAGUGGUAGAGUGCUUGCCUAGCAUGUGUGAGGCACUGGGUUCAAUCCCUGGCACCACAUAAAAAAAUAAAUGAAUAAAAUAAAGAUAAAAAAAAUAAAAAACAUUUUUAAGGGCUGGGGAUGUGGCUCAAGCGGUAGCGCGCUUGCCUGGCAUGCGUGCAGCCUGGGUUCGAUCCUCAGCACCACAUAUAAACAAAGAUGUUGUG